AACCAUCAUCACCACCACCAUCACCAUGACGACGAUCACAAAGUCGGGGCCAACUUCUGCAACAUCUUGCUUUCCAUCAUCCUCCCUCCUUUCGCCAUUGGCGUCGUCGUCGGAUGCAAGAAGGAGUUCUGGAUCUGCCUUCUCCUCACCUGCCUCGGCUAUCUUCCGGGCAUCAUCUACGCCAUUUGCAUUAUCAGCGGUGCUCAUAUCCACGACUGAUCAUAUGCAUGCGUCUCUACCACAAUAUUCAAGGAACUGUGCAGGCCGACGCAGUCCGUAGCCUUUGUUUCAAAUUAAUUGAGUCGUCAAGCUAGUAAUUAAUAAAAUGAAAUUGUGUGUCGUCGUGAAGCCAGUAAUAAUUGUAAUGGAUUUGAUAUUUAUCGAUCGGUCUAAGGAAGCGUUGUGGUCUACUAGAUCGAUCAAUUACUUAAUUUGUAUAAUUUGUAUCAAUUCUCAUGAUCGGCCUCUUUAAUUAAUUAUCUAUAUGUAUGUCUUUGCUUCAGUUGUUGGGGAGACUGACUUUCUUGUUGGUUAAUUUUGAAAGCUAAGAACAUAACAACAGUCAACAAAAGAUUAUUUGUUAUGUCCAGGCUUGUCUUGUCAAUUUAGUAGCCCGAAGCGAAGCUAGAAAAAUGGAUCAUUUAAUACAACCACUAUAACGGAUACCCUCAUCUCAAUCGGGCGGUAAGCCUCAUCUCAAUCGGGCAUGGCGUCCGUCACAGGCUAGAAGUCACUGAUGUGAAGAGCUAUCUCAAUCGGGCAAACGGCCGUCACGGAU